UUUUAUGAGAGUUUGAUCCUGGCUCAGGACGAACGCUGGCGGCGUGCCUAAUACAUGCAAGUCGAACGCUUCUUUUUCCACCGGAGCUUGCUCCACCGGAAAAAGAGGAGUGGCGAACGGGUGAGUAACACGUGGGUAACCUGCCCAUCAGAAGGGGAUAACACUUGGAAACAGGUGCUAAUACCGUAUAACAAUCGAAACCGCAUGGUUUCGAUUUGAAAGGCGCUUUCGGGUGUCGCUGAUGGAUGGACCCGCGGUGCAUUAGCUAGUUGGUGAGGUAACGGCUCACCAAGGCGACGAUGCAUAGCCGACCUGAGAGGGUGAUCGGCCACAUUGGGACUGAGACACGGCCCAAACUCCUACGGGAGGCAGCAGUAGGGAAUCUUCGGCAAUGGACGAAAGUCUGACCGAGCAACGCCGCGUGAGUGAAGAAGGUUUUCGGAUCGUAAAACUCUGUUGUUAGAGAAGAACAAGGAUGAGAGUAACUGUUCAUCCCUUGACGGUAUCUAACCAGAAAGCCACGGCUAACUACGUGCCAGCAGCCGCGGUAAUACGUAGGUGGCAAGCGUUGUCCGGAUUUAUUGGGCGUAAAGCGAGCGCAGGCGGUUUCUUAAGUCUGAUGUGAAAGCCCCCGGCUCAACCGGGGAGGGUCAUUGGAAACUGGGAGACUUGAGUGCAGAAGAGGAGAGUGGAAUUCCAUGUGUAGCGGUGAAAUGCGUAGAUAUAUGGAGGAACACCAGUGGCGAAGGCGGCUCUCUGGUCUGUAACUGACGCUGAGGCUCGAAAGCGUGGGGAGCAAACAGGAUUAGAUACCCUGGUAGUCCACGCCGUAAACGAUGAGUGCUAAGUGUUGGAGGGUUUCCGCCCUUCAGUGCUGCAGCUAACGCAUUAAGCACUCCGCCUGGGGAGUACGACCGCAAGGUUGAAACUCAAAGGAAUUGACGGGGGCCCGCACAAGCGGUGGAGCAUGUGGUUUAAUUCGAAGCAACGCGAAGAACCUUACCAGGUCUUGACAUCCUUUGACCACUCUAGAGAUAGAGCUUCCCCUUCGGGGGCAAAGUGACAGGUGGUGCAUGGUUGUCGUCAGCUCGUGUCGUGAGAUGUUGGGUUAAGUCCCGCAACGAGCGCAACCCUUAUUGUUAGUUGCCAUCAUUUAGUUGGGCACUCUAGCAAGACUGCCGGUGACAAACCGGAGGAAGGUGGGGAUGACGUCAAAUCAUCAUGCCCCUUAUGACCUGGGCUACACACGUGCUACAAUGGGAAGUACAACGAGUCGCAAAGUCGCGAGGCUAAGCUAAUCUCUUAAAGCUUCUCUCAGUUCGGAUUGUAGGCUGCAACUCGCCUACAUGAAGCCGGAAUCGCUAGUAAUCGCGGAUCAGCACGCCGCGGUGAAUACGUUCCCGGGCCUUGUACACACCGCCCGUCACACCACGAGAGUUUGUAACACCCGAAGUCGGUGAGGUAACCUUUUGGAGCCAGCCGCCUAAGGUGGGAUAGAUGAUUGGGGUGAAGUCGUAACAAGGUAGCCGUAUCGGAAGGUGCGGCUGGAUCACCUCCUUU
rnacentral:rRNA from 2 species